rnacentral:rRNA from 1 species
ACGCUCGACACCUACGGGAGGCAGCAGUGGGGAAUAUUGCACAAUGGGGGAAACCCUGAUGCAGCGACGCCGCGUGAGCGAAGAAGUAUUUCGGUAUGUAAAGCUCUAUCAGCAGGGAAGAUCAUGACGGUACCUGACUAAGAAGCUCCGGCUAAAUACGUGCCAGUAGCCGCGGUAAUCUGAGGCCGGGCUGGGACCGAAGGC